AAAAAAAAAGCGGAAGUCGCGCAUGUUCGGGAGCGGAAAAAAAGGUAAAAAGUCGGUUGAAAAUCCUUUUCGUGUGGAAAAAGUCGCAGUUUGUUGUCCAUAGCAUUCAAGAAAUCCCCGAACGCGAACCUGUCUGGAAAGAACUGAGUUCUAGUGUCGAAGUUAACAGUGGCGUAAAAGCAACAGGUGAAAAGUAUUUUCUGUUACAUAAAUGAGUUUCAACAUGAGGUGAGCAAAUGGAUGUAACAAAGCAAGAAUAUAAGGUAGGUUUUUAUUUAUAUCAUUUAUUCAUAAAUGUCAGAUUGCUUAUUUGUCUUUAUCAUAAUACUGGGUAAAUUAUUCAAUUUUUCAAGUACAAAUAACAUAAAAUCAACAAAAUCCUUCAUUAACAGUUUAAUUGAUACAAAUACUAUGUCAAUGUUUCAAAAGAAAAACUUUACAGGCAAGGGUAAGAAUAGCUAGUGAACCAAAACAGUAUGUUUUUCAAGGACCCCCCACCCCCUUUUUAACUCAAUUCCCUAUAAUUUACCUCAGAAAUUUUCUGUUGGAUGCCACAAGUGUUUAUUAAGUUUUAUUAGCAUAUAAAAACUUGGUGUUUUGCAUAUCCAAAAGUCAAAAAAUAAGAAAAAAAAAAAAAAAAAAGGAAAGGAAGGAUGAAGGGGGGGGGGAUCAAAUAAGAGGGAAUCUGUUAAACAUAGACGAUUCUUAGCUCUUAGAGGUGAAAACCACCAAUCAACAAAAGGGCAAACACUUAAAAAUUUCACAAAUUUGAAAAAUUCCUCCCACCCUCCAAAAUUCCCAGAUUUCAGAGAAAAUAUCUUUUUAAAAGUUAAACCUACUGGAUGUCAUGGAACCAGUGGCAGAACUUUCAGCAGGGAGGCUAAACCUCUUAGAUUUUAGUAUCAUACUGUUUUCAAGCAUAUACAAAGUUUUACCACAAUUCAAAAUCAAAAAUGGAAAGAAAAGGAGUAAAUUUUGAAAAUUUCAGAAAAGGAGAAAUUUGUUGAACAGUAGAAAAGUCUCACCCUUCUGUGUACAAAUUUAUAUUUCUGCGGAAAUAAACAAAAGAGGAUUUAAUACGUGAUGAUUUGAAUAAAACAAGUAAAAGAAACUGAAAUGCAAUUCACUGAAUUUAAAAUGAUUCUAGAUAAUUUUUGUAAUGAAUAUUAUCUCUUUUACACUUAUAUUUCUUUUGAGGUUCUUAAUAAUUUUAUUUGUUGUGUAGAACACCAAGUUUUUCACCAUUUUUUUUUCUUUCAAAAGACUUCUUUUUUUUUUUUAAUGAUAAGCAAUGCCUUAAAAAAACUCCAUUGCAGCCUAAAAUUGUUUAGCAUCAUUCUCUGCAAUUAUACUUGGUAAUGAAUAAUUGCAAGUAUACAGAAAAAGAAAAAACAAAAACUAUAAAAUUUCUUAUGACUUUUUAUUGAAAUAUAAGCAUGAAAUAAAUUAAGAUAUAUUUGCGCAUUACAAGAACAAAUUUCAAACAUCAAUGCUUUCAUUUACAGUGCAUGUGCAAGGGGGAAAAACUUUUAUUUUUCCUUUUUACAAAAUUACAAGUAAAAAUGCCUGUUCAUGCAAAUGGGAAUCACAUGUUCUACUGCAUCUCAAAAACUGCACAACCUUGUAACUUAAGUUACUCAACAGAUUUCACUUCAUCUCCCUCAAUUCUAACUUUUAAAUUUCUUUGAAAAACGAAGAUGCAAUAGGCCUGUAUAAAAUCAAAUAAAAAAAAUUACUUAGUCAAUAGAUAAAUAAAAAAACGAUAUAUUUUUUUAUAAUAUUUUGAAAAUAAUUUACUUAUUAUUUACAAUUUAAUUUACAAUACAACUAAUCAGUAUUAUAUAAAUACUCCAACUGAAAGUGUUCUUUAAAAAUUGAAUAAAAACAGGUUAAAAUAUCUUAAACUAAGAUUUUUUUUAUGUACAAACCCUGUAGAUGAUUGGAAUAGAGAAAAUAAAAAACUCAUGAUGUAUUUUUAAAACUGACAAUAUAUUAUCUCUACAUAACCAUUUAACAUAGAAUAUCUUAUUAAACCAAAAAUACGAUAAAUGUUUAAUUUAUAUACCUUGUUUCACUUUAAAUUGCUAGUAGCAUUUAAGACAAUUAAAAUAAAUAAAUAUUGAAAAUAAACAAAGUUGCGACAAUUUUCCCACGGAAGAUUUUUUAAACCAUCAUAUAAAUAUAACCUUUUCACUGUAAUAAUAUAUAUAAUUGUUUAUAAGGUAAAAUUUGGCAUU